rnacentral:rRNA from 1 species
CCCUUCCCGCCUUGGAUGGGCGCGCACCAGACUUGCCCUCCAAGAUUCAUUGGAGGGCAAGUCUGGUGCCAGCAGCCGCGGUAAUUCCAGCUCCAAGAGCGUAUAUUAAAGUUGUUGCAGUUAAAAAGCUCGUAGUUGAACCUUGGGUUUUGGAGGGAGGUCCACCUCACGGUGAGUACUUCCAUAUCCAAGACCUUUCCUCUGCUUCCUCGCAAGAGGCAGCAGAAUAUUACUUUGAGUAAAUGAGAGUGUUCAAAGCAGGCGCACGCUUGAAUCUGUUAGCAUGGAAUAAUAGAAUAGGACGCAUGGUUCUAUUUUGUUGGUUUCUAGGACCAUCGUAAUGAUUAAUAGGGACGGUCGGGGGCAUCAGUAUUCAGUUGUCAGAGGUGAAAUUCUUGGAUUUACUGAAGACUAACUACUGCGAAAGCAUUUGCCAAGGACGUUUUCAUUAAUCAAGAACGAAAGUUAGGGGAUCGAAGAUGAUCUAGAUACGCGUGGGAGUUUAACGGGU